rnacentral:misc_RNA from 1 species
GAGCUUGUUAAGGUUGCCGUAGAGCGGGGCCGGAAGGCAAGGCCUGAUUUAGAGGUGGGCAUUUGUGGGGAACAUGGUGGUGAGCCUUCUUCAGUUGCAUUUUUCGCGAAGGUUGGGCUGAACUACGUUUCUUGCUCCCCAUUCAGGGUUCCAAUUGCAAGGCUAGCAGCAGCGCAGGUGAUGCUGUGAUCGGCGAGUACUAAUGAAGCAAACCGUUGGUGCAUCUUGUAAAUAUACGAAGAGUAAAUAAUGCUUAAAUAAUUUAUGUUACGAUGGACACUCGCAACAUGCUUUG